UUAACUGAUAUAGGCAAUAUAUGUUACUAUUGCAACGAGAUGUUCCACGUUGAACUGUGUGACGUUGUCAAGCGGUGCUCUGAAAAUGAGAUAUGCUAUUGAGAACGGUUUUCAAAGCAUGGCAGACAAACGUUUAGAUCCGGGUGUAUAUCACAGGAGGUAUGUUUGAAAGAAUCAGAAACUGCUGGUAACGACCCAGACAGAUGUUUGGACUGUUGUUCAGGCAGUUACUGUAAUCACAAGGGUUGUGGAGAGACCGGUUUACCCGCAAGAGAUCAGCGCGGUCCAUUAUGCUAUGACUGCGAGUAUGCGUUUUCUCCUGAUGAAUGUGACACACUGAAGCUGUGCGAUCAGGGACAGGUUUGCAGCAUAGAAGAAACAAAAUGGGGAACACAUUCUAAUUUCAGAAUGGGUUGCGCCCAUGCAUCGGUAAUAUCAAGUCGUUGAUUAUGGGAACUAAAAGCGACGUUUGCUAUAUCCUCCAUCGUGUUUGCUAUGUUUUGUAACUCAACGUGUAAAUAAUAUCCAUUUAUUAAUUUUUCUUAACCUUAUCUAAUUAUUAAGAUUUGAAAUUAUAUACCCAUGGCUUGCUACAAGACUAAAUGUCUUUAAUCUCUAAGAGCUGAAAUAAAAAGAUAUUACUUACAAUAUUAACAAUGUUUAUUCAUAAACGAUUUUUGUUUUAUGUACUCAUAUUUUCAGGCGAAUAUGUUUACUUAAUAUUCUAAUAUUUACAAAUUCCCUCCGUUUAGUGCAGUCCAGUUCAACGUUCUGUGCAUGUGUUGCCACGUUCAACUCCCACUUGCCAAGCCUGUUGCAAUGAGGACUAUUGUAACUUGAAUUGCACAAUGGGUUCAGGACAUGGACAGCCUGUCAUAGUAGGAUGAAGAGGAAGUUGUAUGAACAUAUCAAUAUUCAUCAUUUAUCAUUAUUAUUCUUUAGAUUUGUAUCAUGUAUGUUUUGUUCACACGUUUAAAUGAAACCAGAAGCUGAUGCAUUAUAAAACAAAUGUUGCUAAUAUAGGAUGAAAUUAUAUAUACCAAUUUCAUCAGAAUUUCCAUUAGUAUUUUGUACAAACAAAUCAGUAAUCAGGAUGUUAAUUCAAGAAAAUGGUUUAGAGAUGUAAACACUGACAAGAGCAUUCUUGGAAAAACAAAAAGAAGUAUUUACAAAGAAAAGAACUAUUUUCAAACAAAAAUUGUAUCAUUGCAAUGACGUAC
rnacentral:lncRNA from 1 species